UGCGUAGGCGGACGAAUAAGUCAGUGGUGAAAUCUCUCGGCUCAACCGGGAAACUGCCAUUGAUACUGUUAGUCUUGAGUUCGGUUGAGGUAGGCGGAAUGUGUAAUGUAGCGGUGAAAUGCUUAGAUAUUACACAGAACACCAAUUGCGUAGGCAGCUUACUAGACCGACACUGACGCUGAGGCACGAAAGCGUGGGUAGCGAACAGGAUUAGAUACCCUGGUAGUCC
rnacentral:rRNA from 1 species